CCGUUUUCGAGGACAAACUGAGUCGUGUCCAGCGUGACAGUUGCGAAACGAUGACGAGCUGAAUAGGUUCUACGUAUGUGCAGGUUCACAAGACAAGCGAAUCGAUGCUGCACUACUGCUUCGCCCACUGCGCUUAUCAUUUCAGCAGGUUGCUGCCGAAGACCCGGCGGCUCAAAUUUCAGAUUCCUGUUCUUGCGUCUGCGAGCCUCCUCGUGGGCCCUCAGUUCUACGUCCUCGCAAGGUCGACGUCCUCCCGUUACUGCGGCCAACCCCUUCUGAGCAACCUCGCCUGCUGCAUCCUGCUGUCCUUCGCGGCCGCUGGCUUCGCGGUGCUGCUCACGCUGACGGACCCGGUUCCUCGGAGACUCGAGGCGGCCUUCCACGUGUUUGGGGCGGUGUCCUUCGCCGAGGGGCUCUGCACCGUGGCCCUAACCUCCGCAGCUGCUCAGUGUGCAAAGACUACCCCAGAGCUCUUCUACGUGUCCUACCUGUUGGCUUGGGGUUUCGUACUGACAACAGUGUUCUUCGUAGUGAUGGGAGGUUUCUGGAUAGUAAAUGCGCUCUACCCUGGGAAGAUUGUGGACCACACCUCCAAGAAAGUACAGGCGAGGGCAGUUGCAGCAACUGAUCCGGAUAUGGAUGCAUCACGGAUAUGCGUGUUGCCAUGUCCGAGAUAAAGGAACGUCACCAGGCACCGGCUAAACCACCACCGUCAGAAGGAAUCCCCAGCUGACAAUCACUGCCCUUCAUCCUCUCACAUGAACAAACGCAAAGAUGCAAAAUAAACAAUUUAUUUAAGACUACUGAAGGAUAUUG
rnacentral:lncRNA from 1 species